GACCAUAGCUUGGUGGUAAAGCACGUGUCUUGCAUGGGAAAUGUUCCAGGUUCAAUUCCUGGCAUCUCCA